UCCCUCGUGGCGCAAUUGGCUAGCGCGUUCGACUGUUACUUGACAGAUUCAUCGAGAGGUUGGUGGUUCGAGCCCACCCGAGGGAG